UACGUAGGGAGCAAGCGUUGUCCGGAAUCAUUGGGCGUAAAGCGCGCGUAGGCGGCCCUGUAAGUCCGUUGUGAAAGUCAAAGGCUCAACCUUUGAAAGCCGAUGGAUACUGCAGGGCUAGAGUCCGGAAGAGGCGAGUGGAAUUCCUGGUGUAGCGGUGGAAUGCGCAGAUAUCAGGAGGAACACCAAUAGCGAAGGCAGCUCGCUGGGACGGUACUGACGCUAAGGAGCGAAAGCGUGGGGAGCGAACAGG
rnacentral:rRNA from 1 species